rnacentral:rRNA from 1 species
AGUGAACGCUGGCGGUAGGCCUAACACAUGCAAGUCGAACGGCAGCACAGUAAGAGCUUGCUCUUACGGGUGGCGAGUGGCGGACGGGUGAGGAAUACAUCGGAAUCUACUUUUUCGUGGGGGAUAACGUAGGGAAACUUACGCUAAUACCGCAUACGACCUACGGGUGAAAGCAGGGGAUCUUCGGACCUUGCGCGAUUGAAUGAGCCGAUGUCGGAUUAGCUAGUUGGCGGGGUAAAGGCCCACCAAGGCGACGAUCCGUAGCUGGUCUGAGAGGAUGAUCAGACACACUGGAACUGAGACACGGUCCAGACUCCUACGGGAGGCAGCAGUGGGGAAUAUUGGACAAUGGGCGCAAGCCUGAUCCAGCCAUACCGCGUGGGUGAAGAAGGCCUUCGGGUUGUAAAGCCCUGUUGUUGGGAAAGAAAAGCAGCAGGUUAAUACCCCGCUGUUCUGACGGUACCCAAAGAAUAAGCACCGGCUAACUUCGUG